rnacentral:rRNA from 1 species
CCUACGGGAGGCAGCAGUAGGGAAUUUUCGUCAAUGGGCGCAAGCCUGAACGAGCAAUGCCGCGUGAACGAGGAAGGUCUUCGGAUCGUAAAGUUCUGUUGAAGGGGAAAAAGAGCGGAGAGAGGAAAUGGGCUCCGAUUGAUAUUACCCUUCGAGGAAGUCACGGCUAACUACGUGCCAGCAGCCGCGGUAAUACGGAGGUGGCGAGCGUUAUCCGGAAUGAUGGGGCGUAAAGGGUGCGUAGGCGGCCUGCUAAGUCUGGUGUGAAAGGUACCGGCUCAACCGGUACAGGCUUUGGAAACUGGCGGGCUAGAGAGCAGGAGAGGGCGGUGGAACUCCAGGUGUAGCGGUAAAAUGCGUAGAUAUAUGGAAGAAAACCAGUGGCGAAGGCGGCCGCCUGGCCUGUUACUGACGCUGAGGCACGAAAGCGUGGGGAGCAAAUAGGAUUAGAUACCCGUGUAGUC